rnacentral:rRNA from 1 species
AGAGUUUGAUCCUGGCUCAGAUUGAACGCUGGCGGCAGGCCUAACACAUGCAAGUCGAGCGGUAGCACAGGAGAGCUUGCUCUCUGGGUGACGAGCGGCGGACGGGUGAGUAAUGUCUGGGAAACUGCCUGAUGGAGGGGGAUAACUACUGGAAACGGUAGCUAAUACCGCAUAACGUCGCAAGACCAAAGAGGGGGACCUUCGGGCCUCUUGCCAUCAGAUGUGCCCAGAUGGGAUUAGCUGGUAGGUGGGGUAAUGGCUCACCUAGGCGACGAUCCCUAGCUGGUCUGAGAGGAUGACCAGCCACACUGGAACUGAGACACGGUCCAGACUCCUACGGGAGGCAGCAGUGGGGAAUAUUGCACAAUGGGCGCAAGCCUGAUGCAGCCAUGCCGCGUGUAUGAAGAAGGCCUUCGGGUUGUAAAGUACUUUCAGCGAGGAGGAAGGCAUUGUGGUUAAUAACCGCAGUGAUUGACGUUACUCGCAGAAGAAGCACCGGCUAACUCCGUGCCAGCAGCCGCGGUAAUACGGGGGGUGCAAGCGUUAAUCGGAAUUACUGGGCGUAAAGCGCACGCAGGCGGUCUGUCAAGUCGGAUGUGAAAUCCCCGGGCUCAACCUGGGAACUGCAUUCGAAACUGGCAGGCUAGAGUCUUGUAGAGGGGGGUAGAAAUUCCCAGGUGUAGCCGGUGAAAUGCGUAGAGAUCUGGAGGAAUACCGGUGGCGAAGGCGGCCCCCUGGACAAAGACUGAUGCUCAGGUGCGAAAGCGUGGGGAGCAAACAGGAUUAGAUACCCUGGUAGUCCACGCCGUAAACGAUGUCGACUUGGAGGUUGUUCCCUUGAGGAGUGGCUUCCGGAGCUAACGCGUUAAGUCGACCGCCUGGGGAGUACGGCCGCAAGGUUAAAACUCAAAUGAAUUGACGGGGGCCCGCACAAGCGGUGGAGCAUGUGGUUUAAUUCGAUGCAACGCGAAGAACCUUACCUACUCUUGACAUCCAGAGAACUUAGCAGAGAUGCUUUGGUGCCUUCGGGAACUCUGAGACAGGUGCUGCAUGGCUGUCGUCAGCUCGUGUUGUGAAAUGUUGGGUUAAGUCCCGCAACGAGCGCAACCCUUAUCCUUUGUUGCCAGCGGUUCGGCCGGGAACUCAAAGGAGACUGCCAGUGAUAAACUGGAGGAAGGUGGGGAUGACGUCAAGUCAUCAUGGCCCUUACGAGUAGGGCUACACACGUGCUACAUGGCAUAUACAAAGAGAAGCGACCUCGCGAGAGCAAGCGGACCUCACAAAGUAUGUCGUAGUCCGGAUCGGAGUCUGCAACUCGACUCCGUGAAGUCGGAAUCGCUAGUAAUCGUAGAUCAGAAUGCUACGGUGAAUACGUUCCCGGGCCUUGCACACACCGCCCGUCA